AUUGAACGCUGGCGGCAGGCCUAACACAUGCAAGUCGAGCGGAGCGGCGGACGGGUGAGUAAUGCCUAGGAAGCUGCCUGGUAGUGGGGGAUAACGUCCGGAAACGGGCGCUAAUACCGCAUACUAUCAGAUGAGCCUAGGUCGGAUUAGCUAGUUGGUGGGGUAAAGGCCUACCAAGGCGACGAUCCGUAACUGGUCUGAGGGGAUGAUCAGUCAAAUUGGAACGAGGACACGGUCCAGACUCCUACGGGAGGAAGCAGUGGGGAAUAUUCGACAAGGAGCGAAAGCCUGAUCCACACAUGCCGCGGGUGUGAAGAAGGUUUUGGGUUUGAAAAGCACUUUAAGUUGGGAGGCGGUACCGACAGAGUAAGCACCGGCUAACUUCGUGCCAGCAGCCGCGGUAAUAC
rnacentral:rRNA from 1 species